rnacentral:lncRNA from 10 species
GUAGAAACUGGGUUUCACCAUGUUAGCCAGGAUGGUCUACGAUCUCCCGACCUCGUGAUCCACCCACCUUGGCCUACCCAAAGUGCUGAGAUUACAGGGUGAGCCACCGCGCCCGGCCAGAUGAUGACUUUUAAGUGAAGACCUUAAGAAGGUGAUGGGGGAUGCCAAGGUGAUAUCUGAGAAGAGCAUUCCAGGCAGAGAGGAUGUCACAUGCAAAGGCCCUGAGAGACUCCAUUGUCAACAGAAGACAUGAUUCAAGCAGUGAUGAAGAAGACACUCCAGGUUUAAAACAACCCAGGAGGGACCCAACGAAGGAGGGUGCCUGUAGCAGUUGGGGUUGGCCUGCUGCCUUAGAGACUGAGGAAGUGGGGGAUGAAAUUAGAAAGUGAAAGGAAACGUGUAUGGAAGGCUGCUUUGUCCUUGUCAUCCUUACUGACUCAAUAGGGAGAGGUUUGGUGCCUCUGGGCUUUGAGUGUGCAGUGUUUGUCAUCAUCUUUU